GACGAACGCUGGCGGCGUGCUUAACACAUGCAAGUCGAACGGAAAGGCCCUGCUUGCAGGGUACUCGAGUGGCGAACGGGUGAGUAACACGUGGGUGAUCUGCCCUGCACUUCGGGAUAAGCCUGGGAAACUGGGUCUAAUACCGGAUAGGAGCCAUUUUUAGUGUGAUGGUUGGAAAGUUUUUUUCGGUGUAGGAUGAGCUCGCGGCCUAUCAGCUUGUUGGUGGGGUAAUGGCCUACCAAGGCGGCGACGGGUAGCCGGCCUGAGAGGGUGGACGGCCACAUUGGGACUGAGAGACGGCGCAGACUCCUACGGGAGGCAGCAGUGGGGAAUAUUGCACAAUGGGCGCAAGUCUGAUGCAGCGACGCCGCGUGGGGGAUGACGGCCUUCGGGUUGUAAACUCCUUUCGCUAGGGACGAAGCUUUUUGUGACGGUACCUAGAUAAGAAGCACCGGCUAACUACGUG
rnacentral:rRNA from 1 species